GGGUCAGGAAGGGAUUGGUUUGCUGAUCAGUCCCUAGCUUGGGGUCUGGAGCCCUGUGAAAGAAGCUGGCUUGUGUUGAAUACUGCGCUGUGUGCAGCCAGCAGGUGUGCAGACAGAACUACCUCCGCCUUUUCACCUGCUCUUCAAGCAGGGAGACCAGCUUGACCAAUUGGUGGCUUCCAGCAGGAAAACCCCCCAGCAAACCCCCACAGGCUAUGGAACCAGUCCUCUCUGCUUCUUUUCUUCUUGGAAAACAAAGCGUGUUGAGUGCCAAACCCUUUGCUUCUCCCCUAACACCUUCUAGAGUGAACUCUUCUGGGGCCUGUUUCCGGGGGAGGAAGGUAGCACAUAUCAGGGGCAAGAUCACACCUUUGAAGUCAGACAACUUUGGGUUUCCUUCCUCACUCUGUGGCCGUCCAGGCAAGUUACUUAUUUCUAAGUCUAAGUGUCCUAGUUUGUAAAGUGAGAAUACCAGUUCUUAUCUUAACACUAGAUUUAGGGGAGAGUUAAAUGAGGCCACAUAUAGAAUAUGCUGAGCAUUGUGCCUGGCAAUUAGUAUGUACUUAGUAAAUAGCUGUUAUUCUUAUUAUCAUAAUAACUGUUAUUAUUAGUUUUAGUGUCAGAAUUAUAGAGAACUAUUGAUUCAUCAGGCUCUGUCUUAUGAAGGUGACAUCAACUCCUAAUGCAAUGACAUCAGUCACUGAGCCAGCAGUGAGGUUCUGAAGGCAACCUUUUCUGUUCUCUUGGGCGGCUGUUGUUGGCUGAGGAUGCAAGUCAAUCAAUCAGCCAGCAGACCAUGGAAUGGAAUAAAAAUGAUUCUCCAGUGUGAAUAAUGGGGUGGCUUUGGGUUUUGUUUUGCAGAGUCUCCUGCUUUUAUCUCAACAGGGGGCCACAUCCCCUGUAGGAUUUCUUCUUAAAAAAAAGGAUAACAGGGAAAGAAUGAAGAAUGAUACUGCUUCAGUGGAUACCCAUAGCCAGCUGAAUCUGCACUUACGGGAAGAGUCUUUAAUAACUCCUUCCAGUUG